rnacentral:rRNA from 1 species
AGAGUUUGAUCCUGGCUCAGAACGAACGCUGGCGGCGUGGAUAAGACAUGCAAGUCGAGCGGAACAUCACGGGUAGCAAUAUUCGUGAUGUUCAGCGGCGCAAGGGUGCGUAACACGUGGGUAAUUUGCCAGGAAGUUUGGGAUAACUUGCUGAAAGGCGAGCUAAUACCGGAUGUGACUUUUGGGAGGCAUCUCUCGAAAUUCAAAGUUGGGGACCGUAAGGCCUGACGCUUCUUGAUAAGCCCGCGGUCUAUCAGCUAGUUGGUGAGGUAAUGGCUCACCAAGGCUAAGACGGAUAGCUGGUCUGAGAGGACGACCAGCCACACUGGAACUGAGACACGGUCCAGACACCUACGGGUGGCAGCAGUCGAGAAUUUUUCACAAUGGGCGAAAGCCUGAUGGAGCGACGCCGCGUGGGGGAUGAAUGGCUUCGGCCCGUAAACCCCUGUCAUUUGCGAACAAACCUUACCGGUUAACAACCGGUGAGCUGAUUGUAGCGAAAGAGGAAGGGACGGCUAACUCUGUGCCAGCAGCCGCGGUAAUACAGAGGUCCCGAGCGUUGUUCGGAUUCACUGGGCGUAAAGGGUGAGUAGGUGUGAGGUAGUCGGAUGUGAAAUCUCCGGGCUCACCCGGAAAUGGCAUUGGAAACUACCUUGCUUGAGGAUUUGAGGGGGGAUUGGAAUACUUGGUGUACAUGAAUGCGGUAAAUUUCAAGUGGGAACACCAUGCCAAGCGAAUCCCUUGAAAUAACCUGACACUGAGGCACCGAAAAGCUAAGGGGANGCAAACAGGGAUUAGAUUACCCUUGGUUAGUUCUCUAGCCCCUAAACCGGUGCUUGCUUGCUUGUUAAGAGGAAUCGACCCCUCUUGUGGCGGAGCUAACGCGUUAAGCAAGCCGCCUGGGAAGUACGGUCGCAAGAUUAAAACUCAAAGAAAUUGACGGGGGCCUGCACAAGCGGUGGAGUAUGUGGCUUAAUUCGAUGCAACGCGAAGAACCUUACCUGGCCUUGACAUGCAAGUAGUAGAACCCUGAAAGGGGGACGAGGUAGCAAUACCAGCUUGCACAGGUGCUGCAUGGCUGUCGUCAGCUCGUGUCGUGAGAUGUUGGGUUAAGUCCCGCAACGAGCGCAACCCCUGUGUCCUGUUGCCACUCGAACGAGAGUUCGAAGCACUCUGGACAGACUGCCUCAUUUUAAUGAGGAGGAAGGUGGGGAUGACGUCAAGUCAGUAUGGCCCUUACGGCCAGGGCUGCACACGUACUACAAUGCCCGGUACAAAGGGGAGCAAAACUGUAAGGUGGAGCAAAUCCCAGAAAACCGGGCUCAGUUCAGAUUGGAGUCUGCAACUCGACUCCAUGAAGCUGGAAUCGCUAGUAAUGGCGCAUCAGCUACGGCGCCGUGAAUACGUUCCCAGGCCUUGUACACACCGCCCGUCACAUCAUGAAAGCCGUUUGUACCCGAAGUCGCCCUUUAAAAGGUGCCGAAGGUAUGGAUGGUGAUUGGGAUGAAGUCGUAACAAGGUAGCCGUAGGGGAACCUGCGGCUGGAUCACCUCCUU